rnacentral:rRNA from 1 species
AGUGAACGCUGGCGGUAGGCCUAACACAUGCAAGUCGAACGGCAGCACAGUAAGAGCUUGCUCUUACGGGUGGCGAGUGGCGGACGGGAGAGGAAUACAUCGGAAUCUACUUUUUCGUGGGGGAUAACGUAGGGAAACUUACGCUAAUACCGCAUCCGCCCUACGGGUGAAAGCAGGGGAUCUUCGGACCUUGCGCGAUUGAAUGAGCCGAUGUCGGAUUAGCUAGUUGGCGGGGUAAAGGCCCACCAAGGCGACGAUCCGUAGCUGGACUGAGAGGAUGGUCGGCCACCCUGGAACUGAGACAGGGUCCAUACGCCUGCGGGAGGCAGCAGUGGGGAAUAUGGGACAGUGGGCGCAAGCCUGAUCCAGCCAUACCGCGUGGGUGAAGAAGGCCUUCGGGGUGUAAAGCCCUUUUGUUGGGAAAGAAAAGCAGCAGGUUAAUACCCCGCUGUUCUGACGGUACCCAAAGAAUAAGCACCGGCUAACUACGUG